rnacentral:rRNA from 1 species
UACGUAGGGGGCGAGCGUUGUCCGGAGUUACUGGGCGUAAAGGGCGCGCAGGCGGUCUGGUAAGUUUGGAGUGACAGUGCUCGGCUUAACUGAGCAAGGCCUUCGAAAACUGUCAGACUUGAGCACUCAAGAGGGACAUAGAAUUCCGGGUGGAGUGGUGAAAUGCGUAGAUAUCCGGAGGAAUACCAAAGGCGAAGGCAGUGUCCUGGGGAGUGUCUGACGCUCAGGCGCGAAAGCUAGGGGAGCAAACGGG